rnacentral:lncRNA from 1 species
CUACUGAGCCGGCCGCAGAAAUUGCAGCCGCUCAGCUUCUACCCCCUCCUGCCUUUCCUUCCUCUUUCCUUACUUCCUUCCCUUCCCUCGGCUUCCCGCUCUUGCCUCACUCUCAGCGGCUGCCUUCGCCCCUGUCUGCAGACAGCGCCGCUGGAUGCUCCCAGCUGGACUUCAACCCCACUCCUCUCAGUCCCUCUCCCCACUGCCUUCCAGACGCGCCUCUUCCCCGCCCCGCGCCCCUCUCUCCUCUCCCACCCCUGCCCCUCUCCGCGGCGCUCACCCUCCUCAGUCCCAGUUUCUGAAAGGACUCAGCUGAGAAAGGACAACUGGGUUCCGCUUUCCUUAACCCUACACCCUUUAGCUGGAUGCUGUCAGAGGCGAUGGAGAAACGCAAAGGCUACUAGACGCAACAAUAGAAUUACCAUAUUGUUUUUCCUGGUUUGAAAGGACCAGAUGGAAAGAAACUGGGCAAGCCAAUGAAAGUCUCUGGGGAUCAUGGGAAUUGAGUGUCUAUGAAAACCAUAUUCCAGACAAGAAUAUAGUCUAAGGACACAGCAAGAGGCAACAUUUUGGAAGCAGAGGGCAACUCUCACUGGAAACCAAAUCUCCUGGCACCUUGAUCUUGGAUUUUACAGCCUCCAGAACUGAUAGCUGGGAGGCAUUACAUAGUCAUGUGCGAGGUCAAAACUGAGUCACCACCACAACCAAGUUCCAGCUGGCAAGAAGAGGAAAAAUAACACAGAGGAGUUAUGACCAGUGUUGUAAGGAUCUGGCCUAGAAAUGGCAUGCAUCUCUUCCACUAAUAUCCUAUUGGUAAAAAUGUAGUCACAUGGGCACACCACCUAUCUGCAUGGAAGGCUGGGAAAUGUUGAUCGGUAGGGCAGCCAUAUGUGUAGGAAGGAGAAAACAGAAUUUGGUGGAUACCUAGUAGUCUCUGCCAUACCCUUGACCAGAAAUUUUUCUUCUAAAGAAUUUAAUUCUAAAAGUUAUAGACAUUCCCAAAGAUAUACCUGCAAGCAUCACAGCUUUGUGUAUAAUUGCAAAAGUUGAAAUCAACAUGAAUGCCCAAAAUAGUGAAUUAUUUAAACAGAUUAUUACCCAUAUUAUGAAGAAAUACUCUGCAACUCUUAAAAAUAAAUGUAAUGUGCCAGGCGCAAUGGGAUAUGCCUGCAGGCCCAGCUACACGGGAGGCCAAGGCAGGAGGAUCACUUGAAAUCAAGAGUUCAAGUCUAGCCUAGACAACAUAGUGAGACUUGGUCUCUAAAAAAGAAAAAAAAAAAUAAAACUGAUGUAAUGAAUAUAUAAUUACAACAAAAGAGGUCUAACACUAUAGUAGAAAAGUUUGGGGCACUCAUCCCAUUCAUAAUUAUUUUACAUUUAAAUUACUGUUCCUACUUAAGUGGUGAGCUUGGUAACCAUUUUCAUAUCAGGUGAUACUGCUGCAGUAAUCAUAGCUGUUUGAAUCAGGAAUAAUCCCAAUCACAUUUUCUCUUAAUCGUUUAUUAUACUGGGCAUUGGGGUUGCAAGAUAAUGCACAGUCCGAGCUCAAUACAUGUCUUCAUGUACCUGUAUGUAAAUCCCACUUUUAUUCUAAAAUUCUUUGAAUAUUUUGUUUCUUGGAACCCAAUGAUCCUAAGAAAAUUAUGUACUUUUACCUGAAAAUUAAAACCAAUAUUUAUAAAAAGUGUAUAUGCAGUAUGAUACCACUUUUAAAAAAAGAUAAAUUUAUAGAAAAAAGUUUAUAUGACUGACAACAAUGUCUCUGAGUGGUAGGAUUACAGUUAAUUUUUAUUUUCUUCAUUCUACUUAUCUUUAUUUUCUGAACUUUCUACAAUGAACAUGUUUUAUUUUUACUUUUGUUAAAAUAAAUAACAUUUAAUUUGACGGAAAAUUCUAAAAAUCAACAUUUGGUAACUUAAAUAUUCAUUGGCACAUGAUUCUGUGCCUGUUUCUGGGGGUCAUUCCCAUGAGAAGAGCAGGUAGAACUUAUGAGAAUAGAGCAGUCGAAAUAUUAUAGGUUUCAUAUUUUACGGCUUUAUUGAAAACAUUGAUAUAUUGAAUAUUCAUAAAUUUUAAUUUAACUUUCUUUUAUAAUCCUUAAUGUGAGGCUAAGGUAUAAGGAGAAAGGAGAUUGGUAAGGAAGUGUGAUACAUAUUGAAUCAGGUGUCAAGGUACCAUUUGUGCCUGGAUCUGACCAAUAGACCAAGGUAAAAAUCUCAAAGAAUGAGACUUGUAAUGAGAAUGCCACAAACUUGAAUACCUUAUGCACAAAACACAAACAUUGUUAUGCAUAAUGUACAUGAACCCUGAAACAAAGAUAAUGAUUUGGACCACCCAACUGAAGUGGCAUGUUAUGUUUUUGGCAUGAACAAAAGAAACAAGAGAGAAAAAAAUCAAAAUAAUUAAAAUAAAUUGUUAGAGAAAAGUUACUUUAAAAAUAGCUAUAACGCUUUGCAAUUUCAGUAACAGUUCUGCCUCUGAUGCAAUGUAAAACAUGUAUUAGACAUUCAGGCUCCACAAUAAAUUUUAAUGAGCACUACAAAUUUAGAAUAUAUAAAAAUAUCAGUAACCUAUGAAUUCAUCAACAUAACUCACUUUUCAGUUAAGUUAGGCUGAGUUGAAAUUCUACUAAGUUUUCCCAUAUUCUUGAUAAAGGCUAAAUUUGAAAUAAUUUAUUUAGAUGACUAAUUGGCAAUUUGAUAGUAGUUACAUUUUAUGUAACACUUGAUAUAAUAACCCAAAUUAAUUAGCUCAAUAUUAUCUUCUGUGGUUUAUUGAUCCAAAAGUACAUAUUUGUUAUGUAAACUUAUACUAUGUAAACUUGAAUUAGUUUUUUGCUUCCUUGAAUUAAUAAAGCCCAUUAAUGCAAAUCUAAGCCUUCAUAGACUUUUCCAAUCCUUAGUUAAAUAUUAAAAACUGAGUAUUGUAGUUAUUUGCUAGGUAUAAAAGGUGACUCAGAGUAGAGAGUAAGAUGUCAGCAAAUAGACAAUAAGAUGUCAGCAAAAGUGCCUCAAAUUUUAACUGCGUCAAGUUAAGGGCAUUGUAAAUACUGUAGUUUUAUGUAGCUUGCAACUUCUACUGAAAUGAGUUUAAUCAUGUCUUUCACAUAGCUGAAGUUUGUGUCAAGAUUUAAGCUGAUUUUCUCAUUCUUAUCAAAGUCUCACCUGGGGGUAGGGAGGGGUAGGCCUACCUCCCACCUCUAUACUAUCAUUUUAGGAACAGACAGGCAUAAAUCUGUUCAUAUGGUAGAACACAUGAUGUUAGAGUAUAUUUUGUUGAAUGCUAUGGAAUAUUAAUAUAAUUAAUUCUAAAAUAUCACCUAAAAUAUGUCAACUGAAGAUCUGACUGUACUAAAUAUGAAAAAUAAAGCAGCACAUACUUUC